rnacentral:rRNA from 1 species
UACGUAGGCAGCAAGCGUUGUUCGGAUUUACUGGGCGUAAAGGGUGUGUAGGCGGUUGCUUAAGUUUGGUGUGAAAUCUCCCGGCUCAACUGGGAGGGUGCGCCGAAUACUGAGUGACUCGAGUGCGGGAGAGGAAAGUGGAAUUCCUGGUGUAGCGGUGAAAUGCGUAGAUAUCAGGAGGAACACCGGUGGUGUAGACGGCUUUCUGGACCGUAACUGACGCUGAAACACGAAAGCGUGGGUAGCAAACAGG